AACGAACGCUGGCGGCAUGCUUAACACAUGCAAGUCGAACGCGUGUCUUCGGACACGAGUGGCGCACGGGUGAGUAGCGCGUGGGAACCUGCCCUCUUGUGGGGGAUAACUGCGGGAAACUGCAGCUAAUACCGCAUAAGCCGGAGUAAUCCGGGAAAGAUUUAUCGCGAGAGGAGGGGCCCGCGUCGGAUUAGCUUGUUGGUGGGGUAACGGCCUACCAAGGCGAUGAUCCGUAGCUGGUCUGAGAGGAUGAUCAGCCACACUGGGACUGAGACAC
rnacentral:rRNA from 1 species